GCGCAGGUGGCCGAGCGGCAAGGCGCCGCCGGCCUUCACUUCGCCGAGCGAAAAACUGGUGUGCAGGUCUUUCACGUGCGGCAGGUUCAACAGCGUGCCCUGCGCG
rnacentral:tRNA from 1 species